UACGUAGGUCCCGAGCGUUGUCCGGAUUUAUUGGGCGUAAAGCGAGCGCAGGUGGUUUCUUAAGUCUGAUGUAAAAGGCAGUGGCUCAACCAUUGUGUGCAUUGGAAACUGGGGAACUUGAGUGCAGGAGAGGGGAGUGGAAUUCCAUGUGUAGCGGUGAAAUGCGUAGAUAUAUGGAGGAACACCGGAGGCGAAAGCGGCUCUCUGGCCUGUAACUGACACUGAGGCUCGAAAGCGUGGGGAGCAAA
rnacentral:rRNA from 1 species